ACUCAAAGGAAUUGACGGGGGCCCGCACAAGCGGUGGAGCAUGUGGUUUAAUUCGACGCAACGCGAAGAACCUUACCUGGGCUUGACAUCCCGCGAACAUCUAAGAGAUUAGGUUUCGGAGCAAUCCGACGCGGAGACAGGUGCUGCAUGGCUGUCGUCAGCUCGUGCCGUGAGGUGUUGGGUUAAGUCCCGCAACGAGCGCAACCCUUGUCGUGUGUUGGUCCACAAGAUCUCUCACACGAGACCGCCGGUGACAAGCCGGAGGAAGGUGGGGAUGACGUCAAGUCAGCAUGGCCCUUACGUCCAGGGCUACACACGUGCUACAAUGCGCGCGACAGCGAGUCGCGAACCCGCGAGGGUAAGCUAAUCUCUUAAACGCGCGCUCAGUUCGGAUUGAAGGCUGCAACUCGCCUUCAUGAAGUCGGAAUCGCUAGUAACCGCAGAUCAGCUACGCUGCGGUGAAUACGUUCCCGGGCCUUGUACACACCGCCCGU
rnacentral:rRNA from 1 species